rnacentral:rRNA from 1 species
AAGUAAGAUCCCUGAAAGAUGAUCAGGUAGAUAGGUUUGGAGUGGAAGUGUAGCGAUACAUGGAGCGGACAAAUACUAAUCGAUCGAGGACUUAACCAA